ACGUGACCGGCCCCGCGCUGAGGCGUGGGGCUCCCACCUCCCGGCCGCUCGCUCGUUCCGGGUCCUCCUCCCGGUGCGGUGGGGAGGCCUGAGCGUCCCAGGGUCUCCUCAGAACGCACGGCCUGAGGGCGACUGUGAAGAGCCUCGGGGUUGGCUAGCCCCGGGGCUGCUCGCCCUGGGCCUUUGCUAGCCUGGCCUCCGCGUGCGUGCGCUGUGGCUGAGUGCUGGGGACACGGCCGCGUCUCCUCACGCCACGGGCGCGUGGGGACCUGGAGAUGCCAGAGGGGAGGACGGACACCUCAGCCCCGGAGCCACAGCCCCCCAGAGCGGCCAGAUGAGCCUGGUGGGGGAAGGGCGAGCCAUCAUGGCGGGCUAAGGGGGAAGGAGCCUUAGCACAAAUCCCGCCAUUUUAAGCCGAAGAGGCUCAGACAGGAAGAAGGCCUUAAAUGAGGUCACUGCUCGGACAAAGGCCAGUGGGUCUCGCCCCUACACUUCACCUGGCCUCGUCUAAGCCCGCCAGUAGACUUUUCCCACCUGACGGAUGGAAGCAGCUCUCAUCUGUGGCUUUGGGGCUGAUGGAGAGAGGAGGGCAAGGCUGGGAACCCCGGGAAGAAUGUGUUAAUAGCCAUCAACUUCGGGACAGUAAGCAGAAGACUCGCUAUAGUCACCUUUUUAUCUCCUACCACAGAUUCAUGGCAACGGGUAAAAGUAAUCAAACGUUCAAAAAAUGGGUUAGAAGGAGGUGAGAAAGAACCCCGGAGCGCAUCUGUGCAGUUCUAAUCUUUCCAUUUGAUAUUAACAUGCAAGGACUGACAUAACAUAAUGCCACAUCAUGGAUGACUUGAACAACAGAAAUUUAUUUUCCCACAGUUCUGGAGGCCAGAAGUCCAGGAUCAAGGUGACAACAGGUUUGUUUUCUUCUGGAGCCUCUCAUGGCCACCGCCAACUGUCCACAAAUAGCCUUUUCUCUGAUAAGUGUACAUGAAGCCUAGCCAGAGGAAGUGAAUCUAUGGGUGUUGGACUUCACUUCCUGUGCUGACUUGUCCUAUGGGUCUGUGGAGCAGCUUUGAGUGCUCCAGUGCUGUGCCUUUCCCACCAUGAUAGACUCUGCUCUCAAAAAGCAAACUGGGCUAAAGGACUCUGACCAAGAACUCUACAAAAGCAGGGCCUAAGAGAUUUCACAGAAGGGGCUCCCAGUGACUGCUUCCAAGGGCACCAUCAGAACCCCAACAGGGAAAGGCAAAGCUGUGGGAGGUAAGCAAAAGUCUGAACACUGAUUGGGGUACCAUAUAGCCACCAGCUGCUCCCAACUCUGUGGGGACACAGCAACUGAAUCUGGACAGUUGAUAGUCUCAGUCAAGAAAACAUGGCUGACUGGAUCUGUGAGCCCACAAGAGAAGAAUGGGACUGUGUUUAAAUGCAGCAGGAGCACAGACUGGACCUGGACCAAGACAGCAAAGCUGUGGUCAGCCAAGGAGAGGAAAGCAACAUUCAGGCUAGUAAUCUUAUAUUCCCACCCAGCU